rnacentral:rRNA from 1 species
GACGAACGCUGGCGGCGUGCCUAAUACAUGCAAGUCGAGCGAGACUCUUCGGAGUCUAGCGGCGGACGGGUGAGUAACACGUGGGCAACCUGCCUGUAAGACUGGGAUAACACCGGGAAACCGGUGCUAAUACCGGAUAAUCCUUUUCCUCUCAUGAGGAAAAGCUGAAAGUCGGUUUCGGCUGCCACUUACAGCUGGGCCCGCGGCGCAUUAGCUAGUUGGUGAGGUAACGGCUCACCAAGGCGACGAUGCGUAGCCGACCUGAGAGGGUGAUCGGCCACACUGGGACUGAGACACGGCCCAGACUCCUACGGGAGGCAGCAGUAGGGAAUCUUCCACAAUGGACGAAAGUCUGAUGGAGCAACGCCGCGUGAGCGAUGAAGGCCUUCGGGUCGUAAAGCUCUGUUGUUAGGGAAGAACAAGUACCGGAGUAACUGCCGGUACCUUGACGGUACCUAACCAGAAAGCCACGGCUAACUACGUGCCAGCCGCCGCGGUAACAC